rnacentral:lncRNA from 1 species
CAGUAGGCUACUGAAGACAGCAAUCGUAGAUGCAAAUGGAUAAAUCUGUUUUUCACAUCUAGAUGCCAAACACUAACUUUUAUGAAACAUCUGCUCUUCAGAUUUGCUAGUUUCAGAAGAUGACAGUGAAAUGUGAAGAAGUUACGUUUCUUAUGUGAUACUUGAAAGUUAGUGAUUGCUUGCCAAAUUUUCCCGAUAAUGAAAUAUGACUUAGAA